CCCGGUGUCACUUUCUAUGAGAAGUCCCACUCCUCUUUUUUUCACGGUUUACAUUUUCUGGUGUCAAGUUUAUGGCCUUUACCCAUUUGCUUCAAACCCAUUCACAGUGUAACUGUUGACAUCUGAAUUGAUUUCCAAGACAGAGCUGCAAGUGGUCUUGUAAACAGUUGUCAACAACAGUUGUAAUUAAGGAGUAGAGAGUGCAAACACAGACCACAAUAGCAGCCUGUAGGAGUUACACUGCUGUAUCGCUGUAGUGUGGAGAAGCCCUUAGGGCCCUAUCGGCACUUACAAGGGCUUGCUGAUGGUUAUCCCCCCCUCCUUCCCUCUUCUGAAAGGGACAGAUAAAAAAAACUAACAAAGCUUUUCCUUAGGGAAAGGCAAAGAGCUGAUAGUGUGAGAGAUGCUGCCACGCACCUCUUCGACAGUGCUCUGUGGGCUCCUCCACAACGGGAAAUGGGACAGAAGUGACACCUCCCCUCUGCAAAAGAACUCUCAGCACAAGGACAUCUAUGUGGGUUCUGAGCAUCGAUCACCUUGCUGGGCUGGGAGGUGGAACAAGCCAAAGGGAGGGAGCACAUGGAUGGAGAUUGCCCGGGAUGGAUGGAGGUGGUUACAGCAGAGUGCAAUACCUGGAACUGGCUGCAGGCAGCUGAUUUCACAUUAAAAUUUGCCUGCAGUAAGACUGAUGUAGAUCUCCAAGAGCUACUGAGCCUCUGCCAGCUGCUAAGGAGAGCCCACGCCUUGCUUAGCACUGAUCUCUUCACCUGCGCAGUCUCUCUCCUGUCUCCCAGAACAGGCAGCUCUCUUCCAUUUCCAAGGAAGUUCUCAAGCAGCUAUGAUCUUCUGUGUUCUAGUUCUGUGCUCAGAUCCUACACACUGUUUUUUUUGCUAAGAGUGGACUCACGGGGCCUUGUCUACAAACAAAUACUUCCAGUGUGGCUGGGAGUGCAGCCAAAGUGCUGUGGGAAAGCAAAGGAGUUUGAACAACAUGCUUUUGGGAUAAAAAAUGUUCCUUUGGACUCUUCUGACUUAACUUUUGAGCUACUCAAAGAAAACAGCUCUAAGAAGGUUUCUGUCCAGUGUUUAGAGCCCUUGCUAAAUCAGCCAAACACUUUCUUCAAGGGACUGGAGGGAUUAUAUAGUGCCUCUCUAUGAGGUCCAGAACCACAGAACACAGUGCUGUUUUGGCUAAUGGACUCCCAGUACUCCCCCCAUCACUAGAGUAUUCUCUGCUUUGUAUUUUGUGUUUCCACCUGAGACUGGGGUGAAAUUUCUACUUUUGCUCUCCUAAGUUGUGCUGGGAUUGUACUGCCCCGUGGUGCUGCUGUGUUCUGCAUCUCCUUGGUAGGUGCCAUCACUGAUAUCCUUGUCAGCCAUCUGUGUGUACUGACUGCUACACUUCCUAAAAUGCUGUUGACUUUGCUGAUGGUUCAAAGUGUGGGGAAUUUUGAUGGGCUUCAGAGUUGGAUGCUUAUCAAAGCCUGCCUGCUCUCCUACAGCACAAGAAGCCCUGCAAGUGGUAAGCUGUGUGUCAGCACUCCCAAUCCUUCCUUGCUCUGUUAAUCUAGCAAGGUUGUUUUUCUUGAACUUGGCUUGUUUGUCGGUGGAGCAUCAUGCAGUGCCUGGAGCCAGGAAGAAACUCUUGGAACUCAGUAGCUGCAUGCUGCUGCUUCAGGAAGCUCAAUUUACUUGGGAGGAGUUAUUCUGAAGUAAUAUUUCCUUUCCUGUUUACUUUUCCUGACAGAUCUGCUCCUCCUGUGCCCUGCUACAUUAAACCAUUUAUGUAGAAAGUAAGCAGUCUGGGUUUGUCCUUAGGACUUCACUGGAACCAGUUGCUUAUUCCUGUCAUAAUUCUGCCAGCAAUUGCUUCAACAAAAGCACAACAUGCUACCCACUGCAGUUGCUACAUUUUACUGCGGAGCUGUAAGUGAAAUCACAUCCUCAUUUUAAGUUAAUGGUCUGAUACAUGAAUGCUGAAAGCUCUCUGAGUGUCAUCCUGUGAUGUGCUGCAGCACCCUGAGGGAGGAGUGAGUCUGGAGACCACCUCCUUCACAGAAGUGAGCCCCUGAUGCUGCAGUGAGGUCUGUAUCUACAAAAGCUGUUGGUGUGGUGCUGUCUCUGACAAAACAACAAGCCAUGCCCAGCUGGAGGAGAGAAGCACAUCUUUGAACCAACCUUCUCUUUCUUUCUCUCAGCUCAGACUUCCAUGGGCUGCAAAGAGAAGCAUUUCUUCCUCACUUCACCAGUGCUGUUUGAAACAUCCUCUAAAUGCUAAUUUCAUUUCACUUCCACAACAAUAGAAAUAAAUACGGCACAAAUCUUGCUUCUUUGCAGUGCUUUUUUCUUGACUGCUGUAUCCAAAUGUCUCUUCAAUCUAGUAUCUCUUAAUAGUUCAGUAAAGAAUUACUCAUGGGACUAUCCUUUUUUUUUUGCCUUGAAGGCAGUCCCUAUUACUCCACAGUAUGGAAACCAAGUGGGAAAGUAAUCUAUGCAAAUUAAAUGUACUUUUCGGGUUGAAUCGCAUUCCCUUCGCUCAUGGUAAUGAGUCACUUGGCAUGAAGUGGACUUACAGUGAAUGGAGAGAGCAUAUCAGGGCGCUGCUUCUCAAGAAUUACUUCUACUUGCUGAAUCUCAUUUAGGCCUGGAACCAUGAGGGGUGAGGCUCUGCUGUCAGCCUCUCUGCUUCAGUGACUGCACUUAAUCACAUUUUCACUGGUAUAAUGGGAGAAAUGGCCCCAGCCUCCCGUUAACCUUGGAUGCGGAGGAUGAUGGUCCUCAGGCAGUCAUCAUAGCUGCCUCAUGCAGUUCACAAAUACUGCCCACAUGUUCUUUUUCCUCUAGUGAUAGUGAGACAAAACCAAGACCUGAUCUGAGUCAAGAGGAAGGCAGCAAUAAGCCCCAUCCCAAGUGCAGUGUCUGAAAAAUGACUGCUCAAAUUGCAUUCUGCCUGGGCUAAUUUCUGCAGUCAGCUGCCAUCUGAAAACUGGUCCUUUUUGUAUCUCAGCACUGAAACAGAGCAAUGUAAAUCGAAUUACCGCUCUGGAAAAUCUUAUUUUCAUGUGGUUGGUGUUUUUGUUUGUUUGGGUUUUUUUUAUAUUUUUCCCUUACAAAGUAAUUAACUCAAUGACCAGAUGAUGAGAUCUGGUUCCUAGACCACAAGCGCUGCUAUCAGAAAAGCUGGAAUUUCCUGCUCACAGCUUUCUGAGAGCUACAGCAAAAGAAACUCCUGUCGGCACAAUGUUAUGUUUCCCCCAACCUUACAUAGGCUUACAUAACUUUUUUUUUCUCUAGAAUACCUAAUUCUUAUUUACUGUAAUGGAAACAGACAACUGAUGCUGAAGUACUAUGACACCACUGAUUGAUAGUAGAAUGACAUGUUACAAUGUCACUUUCUUAUGAGAAUAACUAUUCUGUAUUACAAGAGUAGUGAAUUGAAACAUAUCCUUUUGAAAGAUGCCUACUCUCAUUUUUAAAGCUCCAAGUGAUGCUGAGGCCCCUGUCUUGUCAAGUAAGGUUUAAUUGCCCUUUCUGCUAGGAUAGGGCAUUUCAUUUCAAGAUGGUUGUGGUGCUGGAUUUGUGUUUUUUUUGUUGUUGGUUUUUUGUGUUUUUUUUUUUAAUUUAGUGUUAUUGAGUUGCUCUGUGACCUUGGAUGAGAAGGGAUGGAACAGUUGUUUAAGGCUAAAUUGAUCUUGGAAUUUAUGUACUAAUAUACCUUCUCUGGAGAGCCUCCAGAGUUGUUUUAAAUGAGCAAAUCCUGGAUAGAGUUUCAGGCUGGAUUCUCAUUCUUUGUGUGCUCUAAGAGGGCAUUGCCAUGUAUUAUCACCAGCCUAGGGAAUACGUUCUGUUCAGGAGGUGGCCUGGGCUCAGGCAGAUACAGCAUUUGGUCAGGGCUGGGUCUGCUGUCUGUGCUGACAGACUGACAACAUUGAUUCCUGACUUUGAGGAGCAGUGAAGAUGAACCUCUGUGUCCUUUUGUGAGGCCAUGGUAUCCUGUAGAUACCAAAGAGUAAAAAUACUGCUGUUUCUUUCCUCCCGAGGCUGUGUUAGCACACCCUGGCUGUACCCUAUUGUCUCAUUUUGCACUGCUCUGCAACAAAUCUCACUGCAAUUUUUAAGUGUAGCCUGAGUGACAGCACAGGUGAACCGUCACACAUCUGUCAUCAGAGUAGCAUUUAACUAAUUAGGAGAUAAAUGAUAAUGCCGUUAAGAGCAUUUUGAGACCAGUGAAAAAUGUUCCGGUGAUGGUAGGAGUCUACCAGUCACUGAGAUGGCUGGGCCCACGCUGGCUGUGGAGUGUUACUUAGCUUUAAAGCAGCAUCUCUCUGCCCUCAUCCAGACAAAUUACCUUUGUACCUUGAUCCAAACAAACGCUGAUCUCUCCCUUGCCAUUGAACUCACCUUGUCUGAAACCCAAUCUGACUACUUUAUUCUACCUCUGCACUGGGAAUUCACUCUAUCAUUAGCAUUUCAAUCUAUUUAAUUCACUGAGGGUCGCUGAGCAAUGUAACCGAAUCCAUGCUAAGCCACCACUGGCAAUUUAGCUGUCAGACAGUCUCACCUUCUAUUUUUAGUAGUGCUCCAAUUCCUUGCUUCAGGGGGUGCAUGCUGAAUUUCUGGAUUAGAUUCCCCUGACCCCUCCGUUGUAUUGCUGUCAGUUAUCUUUUAGUUGGGAGUCCUUUUUACAUUGUCUUAUUAUCCCAAAUACACCUUGUGAAGGUAUGGAUAGAGUACUCGGGCUUCAUCCCCAGGCCAGUAACUCUGGGAUUAAGCCCUUGUGUUCACAGCUGCAAGCACUUGGUAUUGCUGUCCUGAAAGUUUCUGUUAAAAACACCUUUUUAAUUGCACGGCUGAUACCUCUGAAAUCUUGAGAUCUGAUGGCUGAGGAUGGGCACUCGGUUCUGCCCUUAGGUUCUCUGGGAUAUACUGCCAGUGCCUGAGCAGGCCAGGACUGGUACUGCCAAGGCUCUUACUUUCAGAAAUAAGGGUUUAGGUUGAGGCAAGCAACUGUUCCAUCUCUUCCUUAGAGUUAUUUCGAGCAGCUGUGCUCCUCAGUUUUCUGUGUUUUUCAUUCCUUUUCUCCUAUACAGAUUCCACUGCUUCUUAGCUUUGUAUUUAUCUACUCACACCACUCCACUCUCCCCAAGCUCUGUGUCCUAACGAUAUCCUAUAGCAUAUAUUUAGUUUUGAACCAGCCUAUGUCUCUCCUUGAGUGCAACUCAGGAAGCCGUUUGUUCUUGUUAAUGAAGCUGCACACACGCACGUUCUGCCUGCGUCAGCUGCAAGUUGGUCACCAGUUGCACCUGCUGCAGCUCCAUAUUCAAGUCAUCUUGUAGUGUAUACUCAAAAAACAAGCAGAGAAUAGUAAAACACAUGCAUAGGCUGUUUGGGAUGAAAACAGGCUGAGCAUUUGUGUUCUGAAGUUCAUCAUUGAAUGUACUACAUUAAAU
ensembl:lncRNA